rnacentral:rRNA from 1 species
CGCGUAGGCGGUUCGCUAAGUUGAAUGUGAAAACUCUGGGCUUAACCCAGAGCCUGCAUUCAAUACUGGCGGGCUAGAGUUCUGGAGGGGAUAGCGGAAUUCCUGGUGUAGCGGUGAAAUGCGUAGAUAUCAGGAGGAACACCGGUGGCGAAGGCGGCUAUCUGGACAGAGUCUGACGCUGAGGCGCGAAAGCUAGGGGAGCAAACAGGAUUAGAUACCCUGGUAGUCCUAGCCCUAAACGAUGGAUACUUGCUGUAACUGGGAUUGAAUCCAGUCGUGGCGAAGCUAACGCAUUAAGUAUCCCGCCUGGGGAGUACGGUCGCAAGGCUGAA